AGAGUUUGAUCAUGGCUCAGAACGAACGCUGGCGGCAGGCCUAACACAUGCAAGUCGAACGAACCUUCGGGUGAGUGGCGCACGGGUGCGUAACGCGUGGGAAUAUACACAUAGGUGAGGAAUAACGUAGAGAAAUUUGCGCUAAUACCUCAUAAUGACUCCGGUCCAAAGAUUUAUCGCCUAUGAAUUAGCCCGCGUCAGAUUAGAUAGUUGGUGAGGUAAAGGCUCACCAAGUCUACGAUCUGUAGGGGGUCUGAGAGGAUGAUCCCCCACACUGGUACUGAGACACGGACCAGACUCCUACGGGAGGCAGCAGUGAGGAAUAUUGGACAAUGGGGGCAACCCUGAUCCAGCCAUGCCGCGUGAGUGAAGAAGGCCUUAGGGUUGUAAAGCUCUUUCAAUAGUGAAGAUAAUGACGGUAACUAUACAAGAAGCUCCGGCUAAAUUCGUGCCAGCAGCCGCGGUAAUACGAAUGGAGCAAGCGUUGUUCGGAAUCACUGGGCUUAAAGCGUAUGUAGGCGGACUAGCAAGUCAGGAGUGAAAUCCCGGGGCUCAACCCCGGAACUGCUCUUGAAACUGCAAGUCUAGAAUCCUGGAGAGGUUGGGAGAAUU
rnacentral:rRNA from 1 species